CAAUAUCUAAAGCUCUGAACAGUUCAGAGCUGAAGACUUUGGAGGUAGCUGCCUGCAAGUGGUUGUUCAAACCUCAAGUAUGAAUCAUCACUUAAACAGUACUUUCAGGGCAGAAUGAAAGUAGAGGAAGAGCCAUGGUUAAGCAGUGGGCAGAUGAUGCCUGAGACUGAUCCUGGUCAUGCCUAAUCAAAAGAGCCACAGCAAAGGUAUUGUGAGCUCAAGGUGGGAGAGCCUGUGUUCCAAACACAGCACUGUUGGAUGCUUCUGUGGAGGAGUGAUGGCGAGCUGACUUCCCAGGUAGAAAAAUGGUGUGUAUUUGGUACUAACUUCAACUAAACAGCACGGUGGUGGUGGUGGCGGCGGCGGCGGCGGCGGCGGCGGCCUUCUUCCUGCCCUGGAAUGGAAACUGAUGACCAGGUUACUGUACAAGGCAACAAGAAGAGGGGUCUCCUCGUGCCCCUCAGGCCGUGGCUGUCAUGGCUCGUCUAAGAAAGCUGUCCCCAUCCU